UCAGCCUCCGGAGUAGCUGGGACUACCGGUGCGCACCACCACACCCAGGUGUCACUCUGGAAGUGUCACUCUGGAAGUGUCAAUUUGAAAUGACCACACACUGAAUUGUGAAGGUUAUUGAGGACACCCAUCUCAUGAAUGAGAAAGCUCAGGAAGUCUGAGCAGAUGGCUCUGGAAGCAAGAAGGAGGAAAGAUAAACUUCUCUUCCUUCCAUGCUGAGAUUCUCCCCAUUAUUUCAAUGUACACUACAAAAACCACAGAUGAAUAUCAGUUGUUUAACUACAAGAAGAAAAAUAUUCAAGGUCCAAAGAUCUUAUAAAGGAAGCUAUCCUUGCUAAUGACUUUAUGAAGAACUUAGAGCUGUCACAGAUCCAGGAGAUUGUGCAUUGUACGUAGCCGGUGGGAGUAUGGCAAAGACAGUUGCAUCAUCAAAGAAGGAAAUGUAGGGUCACUGGUGUAUGUCAUGGAAGGUACGGUUUGUAACUCCAAUCGUCUGACAUUCAAAUAUUCUCUUUUCAUCUUAUCAGCCUGCACACAGAUGGCAGUGCAUUACAUGGAAAAUUCCAUUUUUCCUUCUUUUAUUGAGAAAUUAGUUUGAAAAGAAUUGAAACACUACUUAGAUACAGUGGUUAACUAAGUGAAGUGUUUGUGUUUAGAAUAUUAAUAUGAGAAUCCAGUAUUUUUUCAGACAUGGAUAAAGUUAAAAAUGUGAAAAAAGAAAUGCCGUUUAUUACACUGAAUAAGACUGCAUGUAGUCAGGUCACUGAGCAAACCUACAAAGCUUCAGCAGAAGCUCAAGAUCACUGGAAGUAUUUUUGGUCUGAUAAUUUAAAUGCCUUCAACUCCACCCUUAACUUUUAAUAUGUGACUAGUUUUCCUGCUAUGAAGCUUUAGUAAAAAGAAAAUGUUUUUCAUGUGUAUGACAGAGGCAGAUAAUAAAGGUUGGAUGGCAUAUUACCUGCCUAAAUAGGAAUGAUAGCUUGUUUCAUACAUCUUGUAAAUACUAACAUAGAAAGUGCUUUGAAACAAACUUAAGCCGCACUGUGCAAAUAUGUUUUAUGCCCAGGUAAAUUUUCAUAAUAUUUAUUUCUGACUGGAAAUUUAUAAUGACAUGUUUUUCUUUUGUAGUAAGAAAGUAGCUUGAGAUAAUGACUGAAUUAGUUGGGAAGAAAGUGAGCUCAGAAAUACCUGUAAUGUAAGAUGGUGACACAUGAAAAUCAGUUUCUUAGGUGGUGAUUAAGGUUUUAUCCAAAAGAUUUGUGUGAUAGUGUCCUAUAAUUAUCAAACUUGUAGGUUGUUCAGAGAAGGCGUGUAUUUGGGCAAGUCACUUCAUUUCUUUCUUUCACCUAAACAAUUUGUUAAAAAAGAAGAUACUCUUUCUUUCUGCCAAUGGUUUUCAACUGGUGAUGAUUCUGUCUCCCAGGGGAUGUUUGGUGAUAUCUGGAGACAUUUUUGGUUGUCACAAACUGGGUGAUGUUGGGGAGACUGCUGACUUCUAGUAGGUAAAGGCCACGCACACUGCUCAAAAGGGUAGUUGCCCAGAAUAAAGUUUUAUCAGGCCCAAAAUGUCCUUAGAGCCAACAUUUUAAAAAUCCUGCAUUCUGCCUUCUUUACAGGAUUGGUAUAAAAUAAGAUAAUUUGUAUGAAUGUUUAAUGUAAAGUAUAGAACACCACAACAUAAUAAUAAGUAUUAUUAUUCUAUUAAAAAGUUGACAGUGUAUAAGAAAUAUUCUUUCUUCAUUCAGCGUUCACCUUUUAUUUAUUCUUUGUCAACUUCUUGGAUAUAUGUUAGGCAUAUAUGUUAGGCAUUCAGUUUUUAAGUAGUAAUUUCUAUCACUUAUUUCCCUAAUAGUUUUCACCUUCUGUGUCAACAAUAUAAAGUUCUUUCUGGCCAAAAAAUAUAAAUAUUCAUCUAGACUUUCUUCUGGUGACAAAACACAGUAAACAAAAAUACACAUAAUGUACACUUGGCAGAGAAUUGCAAAGAAAGAUGAAAUUAUAGAACAAGGCUGUAUGUGAAUAGUGAGAAGAAAGGAUGAGAAAUGUAAAAAAUAUAUAUAGAGGUCAAGUAUAGAAUAUAAAAAUAGAAGCAAUAUCUUAAGAACUACUAACAGUUAGAACCAUGUUUUGUUUUGUUUUCGUUUUUGCUUUUUUUUGAGAUGGAGUCUUGCUCUUGUCACACAGGCUGGAGU